AGCAGUCGCCACGGUAAUACAGAGGGUGCGAGCGUUAAUCGGAUUUACUGGGCGUAAAGCGUGCGUAGGCGGCUUUUUAAGUCGGAUGUGAAAUCCCUGAGCUUAACUUAGGAAUUGCAUUCGAUACUGGGAAGCUAGAGUAUGGGAGAGGAUGGUAGAAUUCCAGGUGUAGCGGUGAAAUGCGUAGAGAUCUGGAGGAAUACCGAUGGCGAAGGCAGCCAUCUGGCCUAAUACUGACGCUGAGGUACGAAAGCAUGGGGAGCAAACAGGAUUAGAUACCCGCGUAGUCCCUGUCUCUUAUAA
rnacentral:rRNA from 1 species